rnacentral:ncRNA from 1 species
AAAAAAAACCUGCAGCAAAAACUGCAGGUUGCCUUUAAAACAAAAUCACUUCUGUUCAAAGGCGAUGGGAGAGGAGAAACCGGAUGAAGAACUUAUGGGGAGUAAGUCUUCUCCGCG